CCUACGGGAGGCUGCAGUGGGGAAUAUUGGACAAUGGGGGGAACCCUGAUCCAGCCAUGCCGCGUGUGUGAAGAAGGCCCUCGGGUUGUAAAGCACUUUCAGUGAGGAAGAACGCCUGGUGGUUAAUACCCAUCAGGAAAGACAUCACUCACAGAAGAAGCACCGGCUAACUCCGUGCCAGCAGCCGCGGUAAUACGGAGGGUGCGAGCGUUAAUCGGAAUUACUGGGCGUAAAGCGCGCGUAGGUGGCUUGAUAAGCCGGUUGUGAAAGCCCCGGGCUCAACCUGGGAACGGCAUCCGGAACUGUCAAGCUAGAGUGCAGGAGAGGAAGGUAGAAUUCCCGGUGUAGCGGUGAAAUGCGUAGAGAUCGGGAGGAAUACCAGUGGCGAAGGCGGCCUUCUGGACUGACACUGACACUGAUGUGCGAAAGCGUGGGUAGCAAACAGGAUUAGAUACCCCUGUAGUC
rnacentral:rRNA from 1 species